CUAGGUAAAUGAGUUAACAAAACCCCCCCUCCCAAAACUAAUUAGAGAAAACCCCCUUACCUAAUAUUCUUCCCAAAUAUUAUUUAAUAAUUCCCAAACCACCCUUAUUACCCCUAAAUUAUAGCCAUUGACUAAGUUGUACCAUUGUGGCCUCUUCCCCAACCAACCCACGUCACAUUCUCACUCUCCUCUUUCUCUUCUCUCUCUCUAUCUCUCUCCUCUUUCUCUCGCACACACAAACACACAGGCACACACACACACAAAUAUUAUCUCUUCUCUCUCUCUAUCUCUCUCCUCUUUCUCUCGCACACACAAACACACAGACACACACACACACAAAUUACACACACAAAAUCAGCAGAAGCUGAGGUAUUUUUUCCCUUUUCUUCUGGUUUGAAAUUUUGUUGUUGCCAUUCGUUUCGAGUCUUCUGCCUUUUCGAUCUACCGUGAUUUUAUACAGUUUUUUUUUACGGUUCGGUGAUUUGCAAUUCUUAAAUAGCAAAAUGAUUUUCGUGUUUUUACGAUUCGAUUUGCAAUUUAACAACCAUGCUUUCACUUGUUUGAAGCCCGACGACGGCCUUCGUUUUUGUUUAAUUUGGUGUUUGUAGAAUUAGUGGUGUUUGAUUUAUGGUUUAAUUACUGUUUAAAGUUUGUCGCAUUUAUGAUAUGGGUGGAGGAUUGCGAUGGGUCUGCUGGCGGCGGUGGUUUUGGGUGGAAGAUUCCGAUGGAUUUGCUGAAUUCGCGCAGAAAAAACAAAUUCGCGCAGGCAGGGCCCUUAAUCGACUACGUGGUUUAAUCGACUAUGUUCAAUAGUCGAUUAAGGCUUAAUCGACUAUGUUCAGUAGUCGAUUAAGUUAACCGACUCUAGUUGUUCAAUUUUUUUUUUUUUUUUGAUUUUUUGUUUAUUGAUUCCAAUGUAUAAAUCAAUUACAAUGUUUGUAUUUUUUUUUAAAUAUAAUUGAUUUUGCAUUUUUUUUGUAAUUGUGAUUUGUUAUUUUUAAU
rnacentral:lncRNA from 1 species